AUACUCACCUGGCAGGGGAAAUACCAUGGUCAUGGAGGUGGCUUUCCCAGGGCAAGGCUUAUCCAUUGCUCUUCAGUUGUGCACUCCUGCAAUUUCCCCAAAUUUGGGGAACUGUAUAAUCUGUGGUGGGGGGACUGCUUUGUGCUUUCCCCUG
ensembl:snRNA U1 U1 spliceosomal RNA